CACCACUGUCAGGCCUGACCUCAGGUGUUUUGUUAUAGUCCUUUAAUGCUGACCCACACAGGUAUGUGUGUGUGCUUCUAUGUGCCUCUAUCACGAACGACACUGUGUUUGGGGCCAGGGCGAUGAAUAAAUGCUCGUGUGUGUGCAAACUUGAGGGCCUGGGUUCGCACCCAGAUAAAACCAAGCAAAAUGGUAAAAUAUCCUGGCCUGAGAGACAGCGUACUUAUUUCCUCAGAUGUGAUGGUAUCUGCCCUGUGGCUUUCUGGGUGAAAGGGCAUGCGAGUUUGUGGUUUUGGAGACGUUGCUGAGUUGCUGAUAGGAGCAGCUAGUGUUGACAAAGCAAGCAAGGCCCUGGUUUCUACUCAGGUGCUCAAAGUUGGCACAAAAGGACUUUUCUCAAAUUUUUAAGGUUUCAGAUGCUGAUCUUUCCCCAAAAAGGUACAGGGGUUGAAAGAUACAGGAAAGAGAAAGAGAGGGAGGCAUGGGGAGAAAAGGUGGUGGCAGAAAUGGAGGGGGAAAGAGAAGGAGAAAAGACCAAGAACCUAGGAGUCACCGGUGACUCAUGGCUAUGAUCCUAGCACCCAGGGACUGAGACGGGAGGGGCCUGUGAAGUGGAUUCCAGUAGACUCAUUGCAUCUAGGCCAAACAUUAGAAUAAAAUAGUUCUUUUCCUUCUUUUUUUUUGAAAGUGUGAAGAGACAUUUAUUCAAGACUUCUGUAUUUCUCACAAUGCUUUAAACGUCUAAUAAAAUCCCGUCUAGCUUUCACAUGCUUAAAAUAGCUGUUUUCUAAAAGUACUUAGACCUUGAGGAAAUCAUGGUGGAAAACUGAUUGUUCUCUGUUAUUUAUAGAGUUGUUUUCCUGAAGGAGCUAGACAGCCUUGCCUUGACUUUAGUCACAAAAACGGGCUGGCAAGCCUGGAAUGUCUUGCACUAUUGGGUACUGCAAACAGUGCACAAGGUUUCAGGGGUGGUGGUUUUGGUGUGCGUGACGUUUUCCUUCAGAAAACAUGAAUCAGAUCAGGGCUUUUGUAUGAGGAACUUGUUCCCAAAAAGCAACUUUUGUGCAACAUCAAUACAUGUGCUUCUGCAUGGCUGUUGGAGUUCAUUGAGGCUGACAUCCCAGCUGACUCAGAGCCUGGGUUACGACCUGGAGUGACCCCUUUCUCAGAACACUGACAUGCCUGGACGAUGGUUCCUGCUUCCGGACCAGGUUCCUGCCUUGACUUCCGUUUUCGAUGGAUGGACCAUUACCCAGAAGCCUAAGAUAAAAUACACCUUCUCCGUCCCUUCUCCGUCCCGAGUUGCCUCCGGUCAUUGUGUUUUACCACAAUAGAAACCCGACUUCCACACCUGACUUUAAACCUCCAUUCUUUAUAAGUUAUCCAGUCUCAGGGAGUCUGUGAUAGCAAGAAAAAACAGUCUGACACAGGUUACUAAUGACUGUGCCAGAAAUGCCCUGUUGGGCCCUGCCGGGGGUUGUGAGUCUGAUUUCUGAGAACUGGGCUGCACUCACACUUGACUUGGUUGUGCUCUGUUGAAAUCCCGUGGGGCUUGCUGUUGUCCUGAACCUCAGUGCCUUGAGUUGGCGCAUUCCUGAUGACCAAGCUGCCAUCGGUGCGCUGUAUGUCUUGGCUGGUGUGAGGAUGUCCCAGAAGGCCCUAGGGAGAGAUCGUGGCUGGUGGCUGGGCUCCCGGCUCUCAGAAUCAAGAAGUGCUGAGAACUCCAUCUGGGGACAGGCAGGUGGGUGCCCGCUCCUUCCCUCCUUCUGUCUGCAUCUACUUAAAGGCAAUUGUGCAGGUGCAGGAGGUGAGCAGGCUACCUUCAAGGAGGCAGGAAGGAGGAGGGGACAGCAAGGAACAAGUGGGACCACAAGUGACAUGCUACCUACAAGUGUUACCUGCCCACAAAGGAACCCAAUGGUGCACGGGCUGGAGAAAGUGGUGCUGUUUUGGAGAGGCUAUGGAACCCUAGGACAGACAUUUUAUGUGUAUUUAUUUAUUUUCGGUUUUUCGAGACAGGGUUUCUCUGUGUAACAGCUCUGGCUAUCCUGAAACUCGCUCUGUAGACCAGGCUGGCCUUGAACUCACAGAGAUCCUCCUGUCUCUGCCUCCCGAGUGCUGGGAUUAAAGACAUGUGUCACCACCUCCCAGCUAAGGACAGCGGUCCUAACCCUGUGGGUUGCGACCCUCUGGGAGUCAAAUGACCCUUUCGCAGGGGUCGUGUAUCUGAUAUUUACAUAUUAUGAUUCAUCGCAGUAGCAAAAUUACAGUUAUGAAGCAGCAACGAAAAUAAUUUUGUGCUUGGGGGUCACCACAACACUGGG
rnacentral:lncRNA from 1 species